GAUCAGAAAUAACGUUUGAUAAAUUAAUACUUAGAAAAUACUAGAACAUACAAGAUAUAUUGUAAACGUAUAUUACUUGUUAAAAAAGUAUAAUAUAGGAAUCCCUGUACAAAUAAUCUUCAAUGCCCUAUUUUUUGUUAAUAAUAUUUUAGAAUACAAACUCAUAAUCUUAAGAAAUGUGAAAUCACUUAACAAAUCAAACAAAUAAAAAUAUAAUUAUUAGAUGUUUUUAGCAUAAAAUUUAAAUGACAAUUCAUGAAAUAUUCUAGCAUUAGGCACACUAGACAUAUUUUUUUGCUAGUCUUAUAUUGGUAGUGACGCUGUUGGAUUCUUUUUAACUGCUUCACAUAUAUUCUUAAUGCACUUAAAAAUUAAAGGCUCAUAAUUUAAAAUUGGACAAUCUUCCUCCUUUUCACAUUUAAUAACCCCGGCUGUAAAAAUAAAUUAAACUAAUAAUAUUAAUAUUAAAAUGAAAUAAAAGAUCGUGUAAAGUGUAUAAAGGAGAAAAUGGUUUACCACAAGCCUCCUUUGAAAAAAGGGAAAGAGAAAUGAUUAAAAUCAUAAUAUAAACAAAUUUGAGAGUGUUAGCCAUACUUUUAUUUUUAUUUUUUUGCAUAUAAUCAAUAGAAUAUUUUUUUGAUCAAUUAUACUUUAUAGUGUGUAAAGUUAAUGCAAUACUAAAAAAAAUAUUUAUAACAAUUAAGUAGACCAAUAUUUUUGUCCCUUUUGCACACUUAAGAAAUGUCUUUUAAGUGUAGAUCAAUGUGUUGUGUUUUUUCUUUUUAACACAUUAAGGGGUAAUAAAAAAUAGUUUUUAAUGAUUAAAAGUAAAAUUCGUCAGUCUUUUAUAUAACUUGUCAAUCUUUUGUGAUAGAAAAAGGACAUGUUUUUGUUUUUAAAAAUUCUUUGACCACAAUAAAUAUAACAUCAUGCAGAUAUUAUCUACAAAUUAUUAUAAUGUGUAAAAUAUAAAAUUAAUUAGAGUUUACUCCAGCUGUCUAGAAUGCAUGUCAACUUCAGCUGUAAUCGGUUACACACCCGAUGAUAACCAGUUAAAACACAUGAAAUACUUCAAAAACUUCAACAAAUCACACAACCAUUACAUAACUAAAUCAAAUUAAAAUUUGAGAUACAAAAUAAAAACAAAUGUUUGCCACAAAUUUGAUUCAAAACUCAUAGCUAUUUUGAUUCAAAUUUGAUUCAAAACUAAUAUUGAAAAAAUAUUUUUGUGUAAUCAUUUCAUGAAAUUCAAAUUUCUUUCUAUUGUUUUCUGUAUAUCCUUGUGAAAUGUUUUGUGUUUCUUUUAUGAUAUUAAAGGUAGUGUACUCACAGUGUAAAGCAGUUUUAUACUGUUAUCAAAUAUAAAUUUAUUAAUUUACUAUGUUAUCAACAUGAUUUUAAAAUUAAAGUAUGAUGUGGCAGAAUACACGUCGUUGAUUGGUUGACAAUGUCUAAUUAUUUUACACUAUCAGUGUAUAUUCUUUUUUUUCUUCUUUUAUUGUCAAAUUUUAAAUAUUUUAUAAGAUAUGUCGUUGAUUUAAAAUUUUAUAGCAACGGAAAAGAUACGUCCUUUCUCAUAAUUCUUUAUUUUCUUAAUUUUUUUAUAUUUAGAUAUGUCACUAUUAUUAUAUUCUUUUAAUUAAUAAUAGUUUUAGUAUUGGUGUAAUAUUUAUUUUACACAUUUUUAAUUUUUGGCAGAGAUUUUGAUCCUAGACAAAUUAACCCCUACAAUUUGAUCAGGAUACUACGGAGAUUUAGUAUUGGAUGCUCUAUUGAGGAUGACAUCAACAUACCUAUCAACAUACCAUUUAACAUGUUUCUCUACUAAUCUUUCCUUAUGUUGUAUUCUCAACCUAAUAUUAUGACUCUUAGCUGGCCAGAGAAAUAAUAAUAAAAUGUUUUAAAUUAACAACAACAGAUCCAAAAUAAAUAAAAAAUUAGACAACAUUACAAGUGGGACCACAAGAAUACAUAAACAAAAGCAUGGUGGACCACUGAAUACGAAUGAAUAGAAUGCAGCAUGUGGACCACUGACACUUGCAAAAAGGAUAAAUAAACAUACCUUACACAGUACUUGACUUCUUCGUUGCUCUCCCUUUGAGAAUGUGCAUUCGUCAUCUUCACAAGCACCAACUUUAAAACCCAAAAACGAAGUCUUGCAAAAAGGAUAAAUAAACAUACCUUACACAGUACUUGACUUCUUCGUUGCUCCCCCUUUGAGAAUGUGCAUUCGUCAUCUUCACAAGCACCAACUUUAAAACCCAAAAACGAACUCUUGCAGGUUGAAUGUGCUUCAAAAAAUAGUGAUUGAGAUACGACAGUAAAAAAUGAUGAUUGAGCUUCAUAAGUUUUGAGCAAGAUUGAUUCAAUUUAACAAUGAAGGUAGUGAAAGGGGGUUAGGGCUCUUACGAAAUGACAAAUUGGGACUGGAAACGUGAACAAUAAUGUUUUUUAUUUUCAGAUUUUAUAAAAUUAUAUAAAUUGAUAAGUUUAAUAAAAAAUGGUUUAAAUGUUUUUUUAAUUAAAAUAUCCGUUGUUUUUAAAAAAAGUUAGACUUGUUGACAUGACACCAUAGUCAAAGUGUCACGUCAUAAAUCAAGAGGACACAUAAGGAAAACUGGAGGGACACCAUAAGGAUCCCAAGAAAAGUGAAAUUAAGAAAUCAAAAGUUGAGUUUUGUAGUAGGGAAAUCAAUAAUUUAAAACUCUCAAACUAAAAUGAUCGUAAGAACAUUUAAGACUAAAUUAUAACAAUUGCGUCAACAACAAAUUUGAAAUCUCCCGCACAACAAUUUUUAGAGGUCAUUUUAUAAUGUGUAAAGCUUAUGCAAUAUUAAAAACAAUUAAAUAUUUUUAACACCUAUUGUAGAUUAAUAAUUUUUAUUUAUCCCUUUUGCACAUCAAAGAAAUGUCAGGUAAAUAGAUCGAUGUGUUAUGUUUUGUCUCUUUAAUACUUUUUUUAAUACCCCUUUUUUCAUUUUUAACAAUUUCUAAUGAUUAGGACUCAUUAUUUUUUAACUUUUCAAUCUUUCAUUAUAGGAAAGGGAUAUGUUUUGUUUUAGAAAAU
rnacentral:lncRNA from 1 species